rnacentral:misc_RNA from 1 species
GAUGAAGAACGCAGCAAAAUGCGAUAAGUAAUGUGAAUUGCAGAAUUCAGUGAAUCAUCGAAUCUUUGAACGCACAUUGCGCCCGCCAGUAUUCUGGCGGGCAUGCCUGUUCGAGCGUCAUUUCAACCCUCAAGCCCUCGGGUUUGGUGUUGGGGAUCGGCGAGCCUUUCUGGCAAGCCGGCCCCUAAAUCUAGUGGCGGACCCGUCGUGGCCUCCUCUGCGAAGUAGUGAUAUUCCGCAUCGGAGAGCGAUGAGCCCCUGCCGUUAAACCCCCAACUUUCCAAGGUUGACCUCAGAUCAGGUAGGAAUACCCGCUGAACUUAAGCAUAUCAAUAAGCGGAGGA